rnacentral:rRNA from 1 species
AGCGUACACGGUGGAUGCCCUGGCAGUCAGAGGCGAUGAAGGACGUGCUAAUCUGCGAUAAGCGUCGGUAAGGUGAUAUGAACCGUUAUAACCGGCGAUUUCCGAAUGGGGAAACCCAGUGUGUUUCGACACACUAUCAUUAACUGAAUCCAUAGGUUAAUGAGGCGAACCGGGGGAACUGAAACAUCUAAGUACCCCGAGGAAAAGAAAUCAACCGAGAUUCCCCCAGUAGCGGCGAGCGAACGGGGAGCAGCCCAGAGCCUGAAUCAGUGUGUGUGUUAGUGGAAGCGUCUGGAAAGGCGCGCGAUACAGGGUGACAGCCCCGUACACAAAAAUGCACAUGCUGUGAGCUCGAUGAGUAGGGCGGGACACGUGGUAUCCUGUCUGAAUAUGGGGGGACCAUCCUCCAAGGCUAAAUACUCCUGACUGACCGAUAGUGAACCAGUACCGUGAGGGAAAGGCGAAAAGAACCCCGGCGAGGGGAGUGAAAAAGAACCUGAAACCGUGUACGUACAAGCAGUGGGAGCACGCUUAGGCGUGUGACUGCGUACCUUUUGUAUAAUGGGUCAGCGACUUAUAUUCUGUAGCAAGGUUAACCGAAUAGGGGAGCCGAAGGGAAACCGAGUCUUAACUGGGCGUUAAGUUGCAGGGUAUAGACCCGAAACCCGGUGAUCUAGCCAUGGGCAGGUUGAAGGUUGGGUAACACUAACUGGAGGACCGAACCGACUAAUGUUGAAAAAUUAGCGGAUGACUUGUGGCUGGGGGUGAAAGGCCAAUCAAACCGGGAGAUAGCUGGUUCUCCCCGAAAGCUAUUUAGGUAGCGCCUCGUGAAUUCAUCUCCGGGGGUAGAGCACUGUUUCGGCAAGGGGGUCAUCCCGACUUACCAACCCGAUGCAAACUGCGAAUACCGGAGAAUGUUAUCACGGGAGACACACGGCGGGUGCUAACGUCCGUCGUGAAGAGGGAAACAACCCAGACCGCCAGCUAAGGUCCCAAAGUCAUGGUUAAGUGGGAAACGAUGUGGGAAGGCCCAGACAGCCAGGAUGUUGGCUUAGAAGCAGCCAUCAUUUAAAGAAAGCGUAAUAGCUCACUGGUCGAGUCGGCCUGCGCGGAAGAUGUAACGGGGCUAAACCAUGCACCGAAGCUGCGGCAGCGACGCUGAUGCGUUGUUGGGUAGGGGAGCGUUCUGUAAGCCUGCGAAGGUGUGCUGUGAGGCAUGCUGGAGGUAUCAGAAGUGCGAAUGCUGACAUAAGUAACGAUAAAGCGGGUGAAAAGCCCGCUCGCCGGAAGACCAAGGGUUCCUGUCCAACGUUAAUCGGGGCAGGGUGAGUCGACCCCUAAGGCGAGGCCGAAAGGCGUAGUCGAUGGGAAACAGGUUAAUAUUCCUGUACUUGGUGUUACUGCGAAGGGGGGACGGAGAAGGCUAUGUUGGCCGGGCGACGGUUGUCCCGGUUUAAGCGUGUAGGCUGGUUUUCCAGGCAAAUCCGGAAAAUCAAGGCUGAGGCGUGAUGACGAGGCACUACGGUGCUGAAGCAACAAAUGCCCUGCUUCCAGGAAAAGCCUCUAAGCAUCAGGUAACAUCAAAUCGUACCCCAAACCGACACAGGUGGUCAGGUAGAGAAUACCAAGGCGCUUGAGAGAACUCGGGUGAAGGAACUAGGCAAAAUGGUGCCGUAACUUCGGGAGAAGGCACGCUGAUAUGUAGGUGAGGUCCCUCGCGGAUGGAGCUGAAAUCAGUCGAAGAUACCAGCUGGCUGCAACUGUUUAUUAAAAACACAGCACUGUGCAAACACGAAAGUGGACGUAUACGGUGUGACGCCUGCCCGGUGCCGGAAGGUUAAUUGAUGGGGUUAGCCGCAAGGCGAAGCUCUUGAUCGAAGCCCCGGUAAACGGCGGCCGUAACUAUAACGGUCCUAAGGUAGCGAAAUUCCUUGUCGGGUAAGUUCCGACCUGCACGAAUGGCGUAAUGAUGGCCAGGCUGUCUCCACCCGAGACUCAGUGAAAUUGAACUCGCUGUGAAGAUGCAGUGUACCCGCGGCAAGACGGAAAGACCCCGUGAACCUUUACUAUAGCUUGACACUGAACAUUGAGCCUUGAUGUGUAGGAUAGGUGGGAGGCUUUGAAGUGUGGACGCCAGUCUGCAUGGAGCCGACCUUGAAAUACCACCCUUUAAUGUUUGAUGUUCUAACGUUGACCCGUAAUCCGGGUUGCGGACAGUGUCUGGUGGGUAGUUUGACUGGGGCGGUCUCCUCCUAAAGAGUAACGGAGGAGCACGAAGGUUGGCUAAUCCUGGUCGGACAUCAGGAGGUUAGUGCAAUGGCAUAAGCCAGCUUGACUGCGAGCGUGACGGCGCGAGCAGGUGCGAAAGCAGGUCAUAGUGAUCCGGUGGUUCUGAAUGGAAGGGCCAUCGCUCAACGGAUAAAAGGUACUCCGGGGAUAACAGGCUGAUACCGCCCAAGAGUUCAUAUCGACGGCGGUGUUUGGCACCUCGAUGUCGGCUCAUCACAUCCUGGGGCUGAAGUAGGUCCCAAGGGUAUGGCUGUUCGCCAUUUAAAGUGGUACGCGAGCUGGGUUUAGAACGUCGUGAGACAGUUCGGUCCCUAUCUGCCGUGGGCGCUGGAGAACUGAGGGGGGCUGCUCCUAGUACGAGAGGACCGGAGUGGACGCAUCACUGGUGUUCGGGUUGUCAUGCCAAUGGCACUGCCCGGUAGCUAAAUGCGGAAGAGAUAAGUGCUGAAAGCAUCUAAGCACGAAACUUGCCCCGAGAUGAGUUCUCCCUGACUCCUUGA